rnacentral:Y_RNA from 1 species
GGCUGGUCCAAUGGUAGUGGGUUAUCAGAACUUAUUAACAUCAGUGUCACUAAAGUUGGUAUACAACCCCCCACUGCUAAAUUUGACUGACUUNNN